ACCUGAUGACUCGAAUGCCGAAGACUUGCAUGUUCCGGGAUCAAAGCAGGAAGCGGAAAUGAAGUCACUUGUUCAUUGCAUUCUUUUCCCUUGGGGGCUCUGCGCAACAAUGAGAAUAUCAAGUUCAUCUGUUCCAGCCUCUGUGAGCUCUGGUGAGGUUCGCACGAAUGGGAGGGAGGAAAAGGGAAGGAAUCAAAGGACGGGUUGGGUGAGGGCCGCUGAGGGGCGUGCUUAGAGAGGCCUGGCCUGCACUGUUCGCAUCCACCUAGGCUGCAUGAUAGCCGGCUGGUGCCAUAGGUCCCCGGAUACCCAGGGUCGGAAAAUGUGGGAAAGGCACUUCCAUGGGGUCUUUCCGCCCAUCCUGCACCCCUCUUCAGAAGCCUCCAAAACAACCUUUGUGAUUUUUCUCUAGAAGGAAAAGAAUUUCUGCUGUUGGAGUGACCCUGACUUGGCCCCCGUGUGCUUGCUUCAUCAGGGAUCUUGCGAUUCAGGCAUAUUCUGGAACCAACUAGCCUGGGGUCAGUUAUACUAAAGAUCUCUGCAGACCAAAGCAUUAUGAUUCCUGCUUCAUUCCCACUGUCCUUGACAGUUUAUGUGCCAUCUUGUCUCUGGAAAUUAAGUGCUACCUACUUGAUUUCUGCUGCUCUGGGUUCUCUUCGUGCCCUGUGAAAUCAGCUGCAUAUCAAGUGCUCAACAGCAUAUGUCGC
rnacentral:lncRNA from 1 species